AGUAAGAAUGCUUUACACAUGCAAGUCGACUCAAGUUACCUUCGGGUAAUGAGGAUGGCGGACGGGUGAGUAACGCGUAAGGAACUUGCCUCUUGGACUGGGACAACUGUUGGAAACGACAGCUAAUACCGGAUAUUAUGAGAUUCUCGCAUGAGAAACUUAUGAAAGCUAUAUGCGCCAAGAGAGAGCCUUGCGUUCCAUUAGCUAGUUGGUGGGGUAACGGCCCACCAAGGCGACGAUGGAUAGCCGGCCUGAGAGGGUGAACGGCCACAAGGGGGCUGAGACACGGCCCUUACUCCUACGGGAGGCAGCAGUGGGGAAUAUUGGACAAUGGGCCACAAGCCUGAUCCAGCAAUUCUGUGUGCACGAUGAAGGUCUUCGGAUUGUAAAGUGCUUUCAGUUGGGAAGAAGAAAGUGACGGUACCAACAGAAGAAGCGACGGCUAAAUACGUGCCAGCAGCCGCGGUAAUACGUAUGUCGCAAGCGUUAUCCGGAUUUAUUGGGCGUAAAGCGCGUCUAGGCGGAAAAAUAAGUCUGAUGUUAAAAUGCGGGGCUCAACUCCGUAUUGCGUUGGAAACUGUUUUUCUAGAGUACUGGAGAGGUGGGCGGAACUACAAGUGUAGAGGUGAAAUUCGUAGAUAUCUGUAGGAAUGCCGAUGGAGAAGUCAGCUCACUGGACAGAUACUGACGCUAAAGCGCGAAAGCGUGGGGAGCAAACAGGAUUAGAUACCCCGGUAGUCCACACCGUAAACGAUGAUCACUAGGUGUUGGGGGUCGAACCUCAGCGCCCAAGCUAACGCGAUAAGUGAUCCGCCUGGGGAGUACGCACGCAAGUGUGAAACUCAAAGGAAUUGACGGGGACCCGCACAAGCGGUGGAGCAUGUGGGUUUAAUUCGACGCAACGCGAGAAACCUUUACCA
rnacentral:rRNA from 1 species